GGAUGUGAAGGCAAUUUGGCUGUGACAUCUGUCACCCCAUUGAUCACUAGGGUUGACUCAGCUGAUCUGGCUGGCUACACAUGUGUCUCCUUCCUCUCUUACCAUUCCAUGUGUGUCCUUUCUGAAGCUGCGUGCUUGGUGGAAGAGAUGGCCAUCUCAGAUAGGAGUGUGCUGAUCUUCAGUCACGGGUAUAAGAUAGCUGCACUCCCCUACUAGAACUUCCAAACAAGCUCAUACUUGAUUUAGUGUAAUGAUUGAUUGGUUGAUACUUAGGAGAUAUAUUUGGUCAUGCAUUUGAUCAUGUAAAUCUGUAUCUACAG
rnacentral:snRNA from 1 species